rnacentral:rRNA from 1 species
UACAGAGGGUGCUAGCGUUGUUCGGAAUUAUUGGGCGUAAAGCGCGUGUAGGCGGCUUUGCAAGUCGGGUGUGAAAUCCCUCAGCUUAACUGAGGAAGUGCGCCCGAAACUGCAGAGCUUGAGUACCGGAGAGGGUGGCGGAAUUCCCCAAGUAGAGGUGAAAUUCGUAGAUAUGGGGAGGAACACCGGUGGCGAAGGCGGCCACCUGGACGGAUACUGACGCUGAGACGCGAAAGCGUGGGGAGCAAACAGG